rnacentral:rRNA from 1 species
UACGUAAGUGGCGAGCGUUAUCCGGAAUUACUGGGCGUAAAGCGCACGUAGGCGGAUGUGCCAGUCAGGGGUGAAAUCCCGGAGCUCAACUUCGGAACUGCCUCUGAUACAGCACGUCUUGAGUCCGGAAGAGGUGGGUGGAAUUCCUAGUGUAGAGGUGAAAUUCGUAGAUAUUUGGAGGAAUACCGGUGGCGAAGGCGGCCUUCUGGGCCAUUCUUGACGCUGAGACACGAAAGCGUGGGUAGCAAACAGG